rnacentral:misc_RNA from 1 species
GAUGAAGAACGUAGCGAAAUGCGAUAAGUAGUGUGAAUUGCAGAAUUCAGUGAAUCAUCGAAUCUUUGAACGCACAUUGCGCCCUUUGGUAUUCCUUAGGGCAUGUCUGUUCGAGCGUCAUUUAAACCUUCAAGCUCAGCUUGGUGUUGGGUGACUGUCCGCUUCACCGCGGACUCGCCUCAAAAUUAUUGGCGGCCGGUACAUUGGCUCUCGAGCGCAGCAGAAACGCGUAACUCGAGGUCCUCGUGCUGGCUCCCAGAAGCUAUCUUCACAAUUUUGACCUCGGAUCAGGUAGGGAUACCCGCUGAACUUAAGCAUAUCAAUAAGCGGAGGA